rnacentral:lncRNA from 1 species
UGGCAAAGGAAACCGUCUUUGAAGGGCAACUGUUUGAAAAUGCUGCAGAAACAUGAGAAAUGUUCAUGAAGUGACCCUGUGGAGGCUUCCGGUCACAGGAUCAUGUGAGCGCCACGAUCACCCCAGGGGUGGAGCAGAUGCUAAGUGUUCACCACACCCAAUUCUCUUCCUGGACACACAGGAAGAUGACAUUUCCAGUGACAUGCCCCACCUCUAGGCCCUAGUCUUUUUUUUAUUUAAAGGUCUGAGUCUUGUUCUGUCACCCAGGCUGGAGUGCAGUGCUGUGAUCAUGACUCACUGCAGCCUCAACCUCCUGUGCUCAAACAAUCCUCCCACCUCAGCCUCCCUAAUAGCUGAUGUCAUAUAGGCAUGAGCCAGUGUGCCUGGCUCAGGCCCUACCCUUAAAAGCAUCCCACCUGAUUCACCAGCCCCCUUCUCUCUCUCAGUAAACUUGGAAACCACGCAUUCCAGAUGGUAUAAUUUACAGCAUGAUGGAAAAAGCCAGCUCUCCAUGGGAAGCUGGCCAGUCUUCAUUGGAGUACAUUUUUAUUGCAUGAAGCCAAUGAGACUUGAUAUUGUUUAACUCUGUGGUUUCCAAAGUGCGGUCCUUUUGAAGUAUCCAUAAAGUCUACACUAGGUUCACGGUAAUAUUAAGAUGUUAUUUGUCAGCUGGGCACGGUGGCUCACGCCUAUAAUCUCAGCACUUUGGGAGGCCAAGGCAAAUGGAUAAUGAGGUCAGGAGUUUCAGACCAGCCUGGCCAACAUGGUGAAACCCAGUCUCUACUAAAAAUACAAAAAUUACCUGGGUGUGGUGAUGCAUGCCUGUAAUCCCAGCUACUCAGGAGGAGGCUGAGGCAGGAGAAUUGCUUGAAUCCGGGAGGCAGAGAUUGCAGUGAGCUGAAAUCUCACCACUGCACUCCAGCCUGGGUGAUGGAGCAAGACACUGUCUCAAAAAAAAAAAAAAAGAUAUUAUUUGUCUUUCAUGAGUGUACAGUGGGAUUUUCCAGAGGCUACAUGACAUGUGUUUUUUUAUUUUGUUUUUUAUACUGACAGAGGGGUCUUGCUAUGUUGCCCAGACUGGUCUUCCAACUCCUGGCCUCAAGUGAUCCUCCCGCCUUCACCUCCCAAAGUGCUGGGAUUAUAGGUGUGAGCCACUGCGCCUGGCUGUUUGUGACAUGUGAUGUUGAAACAGGUUGAGUAUAGAAGCAGAUAUGGGAAUUAAACCAGAAUAUUAAACCAGACAUUGAAGAGAUUUGCAAAAAAUACAAAACAAUACCACUGUUUUCACUUUCUUUUUGGUUUGGAAAAAUGUAGUUAUUUUUCAUUAAAAGUAUGUUGUGUUGGCUGGGCACAGUGGCUCAUGCCUGUAAUCUCAACGCUGGGAGACUGAGGUGGGAGGAUCACUUGAGAUCAGGAGUUCGAGACCAGCCUGACCAACAUAAUGAAACCCCAUCUCUACUAACAAUAUAAAAAUUAGCUGGGCUGGCUGAGCGCGGUGGCUCACGCCUGUAAUCCCAGCACUUUGGGAGGCCAAGGCGGGCGGAUCAUGAGGUCAGGAGAUCGAGACCAUCCUGGCUAACAUGGUGAAACCCCAUCUCUACUAAAAAUACAAAAAAUUAGCUGGGCGAGGUGGCGGGCGCCUGUAGUCCCAGCUGCUCAGGAGGCUGAGGCAGGAGAAUGGCGUGAACCCAGCGGGCAGAGCCUGCAGUGAGCAGAGAUCGCGCCACUGCACUCCAGCCUGGGCGACAGCAAGACUCCGUCUCAAAAAAAAAAAAAAAAAAUAACUGGGCUUGGUGGCAUGCGCCUAUAAUCCCAGCUACUUGAGAGGCUGAAGCAGAAGAAUUGCUUGCACCUGGGAGGGGCAGGUUGCAGUGAGCCAAGAUCGCACCACUGCACUCCAGCCUGGGCAACAGAGCAAGACACCUUCACCUUCUCAAAAAAAAAAAAAGUUGUGUUAACAUGUAAUGGUUUCAUGAUAUCAUUUUAAAUAAAUUAAUAAACAUGUAAACAUUUUCUCUGUUUUAAUUUCUCACAUGGUAAAUAUUAAUGGUGUGAACCAAAAAGUGACUGAGGCAUCUCAAUCAAUUUAGAGGUUUAUCUUGCCA